UACGUAGGUGGCAAGCGUUGUCCGGAUUUAUUGGGCUUAAAGGGCGCGUAGGCGGUCUUAUAAGUCCGUGGUGAAAUAUCCCGGCUUAACCGGGAGGGUGGCAUUGAUACUGUAGGACUUGAGUAAAGUUGAGGUUGGCGGAAUUGACGGUGUAGCGGUGAAAUGCUUAGAUAUCGUCAAGAACACCGAUAGUGUAGACAGCUAACUAAGCUUUAACUGACGCUGAGGCACGAAAGUGUGGGGAUCAAACAGG
rnacentral:rRNA from 1 species